rnacentral:rRNA from 1 species
GACGAACGCUGGCGGCGUGCUUAACACAUGCAAGUCGAACGGAAAGGCCCUGCUUUUGUGGGGUGCUCGAGUGGCGAACGGGUGAGUAACACGUGAGUAACCUGCCCUUGACUUUGGGAUAACUUCAGGAAACUGGGGCUAAUACCGGAUAGGAGCUCCUGCUGCAUGGUGGGGGUUGGAAAGUUUCGGCGGUUGGGGAUGGACUCGCGGCUUAUCAGCUUGUUGGUGGGGUAGUGGCUUACCAAGGCUUUGACGGGUAGCCGGCCUGAGAGGGUGACCGGCCACAUUGGGACUGAGAUACGGCCCAGACUACUACGGGAGGCAGCAGUGGGGAAUAUUGCACAAUGGGCGGAAGCCUGAUGCAGCAACGCCGCGUGCGGGAUGACGGCCUUCGGGCUGUAAACCGCUUUCGCCUGUGACGAAGCGUGAGUGACGGUAAUGGGUAAAGAAGCACCGGCUAACUACGUG